rnacentral:rRNA from 1 species
GAUGAACGCUGGCGGCGUGCUUAACACAUGCAAGUCGAACGAAGCACUUUAUUUGAUUUCCUUCGGGACUGAUUAUUUUGUGACUGAGUGGCGGACGGGUGAGUAACGCGUGGGUCACCUGCCUUGAACAGGGGGAUAUCAGUUGGAAACGGCUGCUAAUACAGCAUAAGCGCACAGCAUCGCAUGAUGCAGUGUGAAAAACUCCGGUGGUAUAAGAUGGACCCGCGUUGGAUUAGCUAGUUGGCGAGGUAACGGCCCACCAAGGCGACGAUCCAUAGCCGAGCUGAGAGGGUGACCGGCCACAUUGGGACUGAGACACGGCCCAAACUCCUACGGGAGGCAGCAGUGGGGAAUAUUGCACAAUGGGCGAAAGCCUGAUGCAGCGACGGCGCGUGAGCGAAGAAGUAUUUCGGUAUGUAAAGCUCUAUCAGCAGGGAAGAUAAUGACGGUACCUGACUAAGAAGCACCGGCUAAAUACGUG